UGCGAUAUCUCAGUAGUGAUUCACUUUUUAUCUUCAUCUAGUCAUAGUCAUCUCAUUUCAUCUCAUUUGAUUCCAACAGGCAAAGCUUUUCUUUUCCUUUCCUUCCCUGCCCUUUCCUUUUUUAUUUUAAUAAAAUGCAAGAAGAAAAGAAAUCAAGAGUGAAAUAUCAGGGAUAUUCAUUUAUUCUCACUGCAACAAAAUCAAAGAAAAAAUGAGGACAAGACAAGGAAAAACCCAAAUGAGAGAACGAGGAUGAUAACGAAAUUCGCUGCAAAACAUACCACAGACAUGCAAAAUAUAGUGAGUAGAAGGACAAGAGAAAAGACGAAAAAAUUCGUUCAUCCCGCACCCAUCAGCCAAAAUUAUAUAAUAAUAAUUUAUGGAUUCCCUCAUUAUAUAUGUAUGUAUAUAUAUAUUCCCCGGCGGAAACAAAAGAAAUGACCAAGCGAGUCCCAGAUGGUUGUAUCAAAUGAUCCAGAAAGAGAGACAAACACAGAAAAAUUCCCUCCAAAAAACAAAAAAAAAAAACGCCAUUCCUCGCUUUGCAGGCAUCGUUUCCAUUGCCCAACAGAAAUUAUCGCGAAAAAAAAGAAAGAAACAGAAAAUUACAAAAUAAAAAAUGAAUGGAGGCGAAAAGGUAAUAACCAAGAGGGGUGAGGAUUACCGCCAUUUCUCUACCCCAUCUUCCCCAUGUCCAUCCAUUUUUCUUUUACAGAACUAACAAGAUAGCAACCACACAAAUUCAAGGAAAAAAUACAAACGAAAAAUCAGGUAUCAAAGAAAUUCAUCAAUAUUUCUCAUAAUGACCGGCUCCCGCCGUUGCUGUGGGGGCGAUCGCGGGUCCGCUGCACCAGGUGGCACCGGGGGACAUGCGCGGACGACGGAGGAUAUAGACUCUAUCGACAUACGAUUGCCAUUACCGCUAUUAGUUGUAUUGGUAUCGAUACUUUUGUCGAGACGACAGGCAAGAUCACCAGCGACAGUGCGGAGGUGAGAGAAUGGGGUUGUCCAGAACUCAGCAGCACGGGGCGAAAGGACGGAUGGCGUUGCCGGUACGUCUUGCAUGACCAAGUCCAUUUGGUGGACAGCGGUACGGGAUAAGGUGCGAUGGGAAGGGACGGCGGAGUUGUCGUGGCGGGGACGGCGAAGGGAGUGUAUUGUUUGGUAUUUUUCACGGAGAGGGAGGGGACGUGGGGGAAGGUUCCGGCGCUGUUGGCUGGUUGCUGGUGACGAUGAUACUGUUGAGUUUGACGACGAUGUUUGCGGGCUGGUCCAGUUAAAAGGGUUUGCUAACGUGGGUGCAUUGGAGUAUUUUGAAUCGCCCACGGCUGCGUUGAACAGAGGGACUGGGGGACGGGCGGUUUUCGAGGUCGAGGAGUUACCUUGGCCUUUUGAUGUGGUGCUAACUUUCGCAUCUAGAGAUCCAUCAAACCAUUCAGCCGGGGGAGAUCUGGAAGGUCCCCGUUGCUGAACUCGUGUCCGGAAAUCGACCUGCUGACGCCAAGUUGACAAUGGAUCAAUACUCUCUUUCCUUGCGAAAUCCUGUUAUCGAUAACCUCGCAAAGCGGAUAAAGGUCAUCGAGUAUUUCUGAACUGUGAUCCCACGGCACAUGUAUGUACUCGGGCGUAGGGGCGCGGCGCUUUGGAGUCGUGGGCGACUCCGUUCCUACAGGCUGAAAUUCGAAGGCAGAUUUGAAAGAAAUUUCCGAAAGUGCAGUAUCAGGUUCCACCACCGAUUGUCGUUGCACAUCGGGUAAUGUAGCUUUCCAUACCGAGACAACGGUAUCCUGCCUUUGCUCAGCGCUUAUGAAUGGAUUUGCAACCUCCUUUGCAACAUUAAUAACCACGUCAAAUUUUGAGGCCUCUUCACUGCUUGGCUCUAGGUAAAGAUAGAGUCCGCUAUCAUAUAUUAAAAUUGGUCCAUCUGGAUAACCUUUGUCACUACCAUUGCAUGACUCGCGCGAAACUAGGUUAUCCUCUUCCUCAACAAGCUCAUGCAAGGCAUCCCUGCCCGAAAAAACGUGCUGGGCUGAAGGAGAUGGUCGGUCCGGUGCCACACGAUCCUCCCAAGCGCCUGGCAUGGGCCGUUUUGCAGACUGGAACAAUGAACCUGGAAGAGCAAGAGAAGGCUUAGUUGACGUAGUUGGAGAGAGUAUGGAGUUGAGAGACGGUGACGACUCGAUAUGCCGAAGAGCCGGUCGGGUAUUAGGAGUGGGAGGAACAGCCUCUGAAAUGUUCGAAAAGGAUCUGUCAAAUGAUGGCGUUUUUAUUGUAAGAUUCGGGGGUUUGCGUCGUAAACAUCUAGUGUUAGACUGUAUCGGAGAAGCGGGAGCUGAGACAUUAGGUGUUUUUUCUCUGAUUGGAGCCGUGGCUAUUGUUUGGUGAGACGAGAUAGUAGGUAAUUUGAGCGAUAAAUUUUUUAAAUUACGAGCUUUUCUUGUUGGAGACUCCGGCUGACGAAGGUAAGUAGAGAAUGAUUGAUUUGGCUUGAAACGCGACUCUGUCCUUAACUGGGCAGCCGGUCGAUCGCCAUUCGUAAUCCGCGACAUGAGUUUAAGGGAUUGAAGCGGCGUAACAGAAGAUGGUGAUUCUGGUGAAGAGCUUGGAGAAGUGUCUUGAAUGACCGGAGAAUCAAAGGUGGAGAUGGUGGUAGUAGGCGAAGAGUCGGUAGAUUCAGACGCGAUGGAUAAGUUUUCGCGCGGUAGAUAUUGGUAAGGCAUCUGCGGAGGAUUGAGAGCUGUUGAGCUAGUGCUUCGGGGAUGGCUGAGACCAUGCACUAUCGCUGAAGGCUUGACUGGGGCGGUGGAAGUGGCUGAGGUGAUUCAGUUGAUGUUGACGCCAUCGAACCUCCAGCAUCGAGGAGAAUCUUGGGCGCUAAGCGACUUUUUUCACUUCCCUCAUUGUAAUAACCAGUUGAUCCAUCUGCAACAGUAGUGGCAGUAGCGAUUGUAGACAUGAAAGACGGAAAUGGAGGAGACAGGGGAGAAGAUGCUAG
rnacentral:sRNA from 1 species